rnacentral:lncRNA from 1 species
AACACGCGCUCUCAGCUGGCCGGUGUGGCACAACCCUCCCCCCACCUCCCCUUCUUGGCCUUCGCCAGUGUGGGAGCCUCGUCUCACUGGAGAGUCCGUUCAGGUAAGCAGUGAGUCCGGGCAGGGUCGAAUGCGGUGGGAGUAGAGAUGGGGUUGUUAAUCUAAAAGAGUGGUUUGGAGGGAGGGGCAGGUAGGCUCCAAGAGGGCGGGAACUUCAGGAAAGCGCAGAAAGAACUCAGUCAAGCUUCAAAGAAGCGUAUACCCUUGCUUUGCACCCUUGAGUCUGGCUCUUGCUUCUAGAACUGUCGGGUAGGGGAGUGGCCAUGAUCUUGGGGUCACUGGGGAAAGAGGUGGCCCUUUGUGGGUUCCAGAGGUCGGGACUGAAAGCGAACGUCCCUCAGUUGGGUGGCCGGGAGUUGCACCAGUUAUAAGCCGGGCGUAUUUCGAUCGGCUAGUAGUUGUUUACUUGGUGAGGUUUGCGCCAGGCGGAAGGCGGUUGCCGCCUACCUAAAAUUGGAGUCAGCAGCACUUAGUUUCCCUUUCCAGUGAGGAAUAUCUAAUUCUUCUACGGUUAAGCCGGGAAAACAGCGGCUAGUUUAGGAGGGAAGAAAACCCUUGGGCAAACGCCCAAAGCCUGCGUAUAUUCCGGCCGGAGCAUCCUGGCGCCCAGUUUGGGGAGGAGGGGUGAAGGGGAGGGUUUGGAUACGAAGCCCGGCAGGGAGCGGGUAACUCCUGGAGCCACUCCGCCGAGCACUGCCUGUGGCCCUGGUCGAGGAUACCAUUCUGGUUGCUCAGUGAUUGACCAGGAGGCGGAAGCCAGUUAAGGGGACCAAGGAGUGGAGUAGGGAGAACCUCCAUCGGCCCACGGGCGCGAGUUAGUGUUCGAAUCUUUGGGAGCUCGAAGAGCUUCGCUAAAUCUGACUCCCUUCGUCUAGUCUCUGUUUGGCAGCCCCCGCGCCCCAGAGCAGGUGUUUGGGGCGGGUAGGGGGUGUUUUGGUUUGGUUUUUGGAUCUUCUAAAGGAGUCAGUAUCUAUUGGGAAACAACCCCUAGGCAAGGAGAAGAACCGGGGGCCGGAGCGGAGCGUGUUUCAGAGGUGCGUAUAAAAUCCCAGGGGCGCCAGGAGGCAGCAGCGACGGCGCAGCGUGGGACGGCCAGGCGCGACGGGAGGGAAGCAACCGGUUGCAGUCCGGCCUCCUGUACCUGGCUGGCCCGGGCUGGGGCUGCAAGCUUUCCAGCCAAACUUAUGUGAAGCAAAGUAGUUGCAGUUUGACAAAGAAUGGCGUUUCAAUAAAUGACAUAGUAAUUUUUUACGCUUUGGUUUUUAGCUUGCAUUGCAUAAACGUUGUCGCCAUUAAAUUCUGGCUGCGGACCCGAAGUGUGUGCGGGCCCAGGACUUACUCGAAGGGCGCACUUCUUGGGAAUGCGCAUCCCGUAGGCGCAGGAGACCCUGAGGGUAAAGAUGCGGCACUUGAGCCCUCCGCUUGCCUCCCAGGCCACCUUUGCUGCUUGACUUUGCGUCGUCUCCACUCAGAAGCUUUUAAAAUUAUUAUUAAGAAAAGAAAGAUUCUACAAGACACUGCCCCCACGCUCUCUGCUCAGUCCUCUCCCACACGAUCUAUCCCUAAACCUUUCGCGGGGCUCGCGCGUUUGGUUUUUUGAGUGGAGAAAGGACUCUCGAGACAAAAUUCACUGCCAGUUGCCCUAAGAACCCCCCAGAUCCCUGUAUCUCCCUUCCUUCUCCCCGCCUAUUAUUUCUACUUGGAAGUCGUUUUUCUUAACUAGGACUCAACUGUGAGGGGCGAGGAGCCCUUUAUGAAAAGCCGGGGACUUUCAUUUCCAAACGAAAAGAUUGAGAUUGUUUCUUCUUUUACCAUCCUUGGCACUUUUAGCGGGGGGAGAGGAGGUUAUCUGAAGGGAGGCUGGCUUGAAUGUGAGUCGUUGUGUUUGUGAAACCCAGGAGGAAAGGAGAGCCAAGCAAAUGUAGAACUCCUCUCUCCUCUGCCAUUUAUUUUCUCAGAAUCCUUGUGGGGGCGGGGAGGGGAAGAGCACCGGUGCGAACCCCGGGGUGCCCCCUCGCCCGACUUGGACUUCUCCGACUAAAGAGGUGGGAGGAGUUCCCUGCAGCCUGCGGGGCCAAGAAGAAAGUGCUAAGCUGAGGAGCCGCAGUCGGAGGACCCCAGGGACCCGACAGGAAGUCUCCGUACGACCCCAACGGAUCCACAUGCCCGGAAGCCCAGGCGACACUAAGCCAGCGCUGGGGAACUGACGUACUCCUGCAGUCGCAGGGCGCUCCAUGCCUCUCUGUCCUCUUCUUUGUUGUGGAGAAGGAAACUGAGGCCCAGACAGCCGAAGGAGAGGCAGUCUAUGGAGCGCAGCGGUAAAGAGCAAGGGGUUGGUGGCCCCAGAAUGGAACCUCAGCUCUGCCAGAGCUAAUGGGAUGCAGAGGCGAGGACAGCCCCUGGAAAACCAUGUGGCGUUGAUACACUGGCAAAGCGCAGGCAUCCCGGCCUCGAAGGUGCAUAAUUAUUGCAAUAUGAAAAAAUCGAGGCUGGGUAGGAGCAGGGCAGUGAGGAUUUCUCAACCCUUACUUUCACCCCGGCGCUGUCCACUGCAUCUGACAGAGCGCGGAGCUGGGCUGCUACAGCCGCAACCCCAGGGACCAGUGCGCACGCCUGGGCCGCCCUCCGGGAGUCACCCAGCGGCCGCGGACAACUGAAUAAACACCCCAAAGCGCUGCGGUCGGUCAAGGGCGGGGACAGCCACACUGCGCGCGGGGCCCGCAGGCCGUAAUAAAGAGUGGCUCGACCUCGCUGCUGCCUGUCGCGGGAGAGGAACAAGCUUUCGACUAGCGCCUCUCCCCGGGGCCCGCGCCCCGAGCCCCACGCGCAAGACAGCCCAACAGCUGUUCCUCCCCUCCCCGCCGACUCCAACUCUUCGGAAUCUGCCCACUCGGGGCUGCAGGGCAAGUGUUUAGGAUGGUUCCCAGCCCCGCGCUGGCGGUGAAAAUUUCAACGUCAUUCCUUCAAUUAAAAAAAGGGGGGGGCAAGGGAGGGGCUUUGUGAUAACUACUCCCAGCUUCUUCUGAUCAUUUCAAAAUUAAGUCGAUUUUUUUUAACCAGUCCCCACUUACUGUCCUAACUCUCCUCGCUGACCCUAUCUGGGAGCCCGGAACCGUUAGGUACUGCCGAAUGCGGUGCAAAAUUUCCCCCUCUCCCCCAGUUCGCAGUGCCUGGAGCCGCUGGGGUUACUCGUCUGUUCUGAUGCCACCGCGAGAUGGUCCCCGAGCUCCCCGAGAGUCCUCAGUGAAAGGAUUCCGCGGCACUGCCUCUAUUAUUAUACCGUAAAUCUUUUUAAAUUCUGGAACUAAUUAUAUAGAGGAUAUGUCUCAAUUUGUUCUGCAUUAAUGCCACAGUGGGGAUGGAGGCCAGGCCGUGGCCAGAGCAGAUACGUAGGCCCAUGAAAUUGAUGAACUGAGAGUUGCUUCCAGUCCUGAGCGCACCAUCUGGAAUUCCAGUCUGAGGUUACAAUUAGAACUCCUGACCCCAGAUUCAACUUUGCAAACAACAGGGGAAAAAAAUGGGGAAAAGAAAAACCACGAGAGAGGGAAAAAAAAUUAUUCUGCACCUGUAAAAAAAAAAAAAAAAAAAAAAAAAAAAAAAAAGUCACACAAUCUUAAAAUCUUUCCGUCUUAGACAAUUCUUUCCAAGUAUUUCUUUUGUGUUUUUUAACCUAUAAAAGAUAAUGGAAUGUUUUAUAGACUGGAUUUUAUCUCAUCCCCUUUCCCUCUCCCAACUGCCCUCAGUUUAAUAGUUGUCAGUUUUACCUCAGUGUUGAAUUUAAUUAUAUAGGAACAAAAUAUUCCUCAGUAAAUUUGCUUGCUAAAUAUUCUGUCACAUUUACUUCCCCUUUGAGAAAUGGCUUAAUUAUAGAAAUCUACCUGCAUCUAGGAAUUUUUUUUCCCUUUUCUUUUUUGACCGCCAUUCCAGCUUAAUCGUAAGCAGAGAUUUUAUUUGUGCAGUAAUUUUAUUUGUGUUCUAAAUUCGUUUAGCCAAUUUCUUCCUUCUUUCUUUAGUAACACCCUGCUUUAUUUUCCUCUCACUUUGACCCCCUGAAGAAAACGAAGGACCAAGCAGUACUGGAGAAUCUGUUAAAUUUAUUAGCAUAAAUGCUUAGACAAAACGAGAUAUAAAUCAUUCAGAUGUAUUAAGCCAUAAAGUAUCCCAAUGAAGUCAGUCCCUUGCCAGGGUCCUGGUGUAUAAAUGUUCAUAUAAAACAAGGUAUCAGUAUUAUCUUUCAAACUGAAUAUAUGUUGUAAAAAUAUCCAAGGUUGAGUUAGGAAUAUGGGGGGAGGGUGCAGCAGGGCAGGAAGGGGAUAUUCUUUAGACCAGUUUGUUAACAUAGUGGUGGCUCAGAAAGUAUGGUGGAAAGGAAAAAUUUCAACCGUUUACAUUUGGAGUCUUCUUAGAUAAUAUGUUUUUAAAUAACGGUAUGCAGGAUAUAUUUGAGAGCAAAGGAAUAAGAGAAAAAAAAGAUGACUAGAGGGAGAAAGGCAUUGAUUUCUGUAGAAUGCAUUUGUCCCCCAAAGAUCAGUUUAGCUUCACAAAAAUCCACCCAGAGGAGGCACUGGCUCUUCACACAGAUAACGGAUUAUCCAGUAGAGAAGAGCUACCUGGGCCUUCGUCUGGCAACUGGGAUAUGCAGCCGCUGGUCAGCAGAGGGAUGUGUAUUCAUUAGCGGUGGAAGACGAGGAAAGCGCCCGGGAGUGAGGAAGAGGAAUGGACAGAAUUCCUGGCAGAAGCUUACCAAGACAAAAAUCAGACACAAUGUUUAAGCAGCAAUUGCUCGUGAAGUUCAUAACCAUGGCUCUCUGUAAAUCUUGGCAAAUUGGGACAUUCUUUGCUUUUUGGAAAUGAUUGUUUUCAAGACUUUUUUUAAAAAAUCAAGUUGUCCACCAGAAAAAUGGAAUAGCUCACCUUCCCCAUCUUUUUUUUAAAGCAGGGAUAUCCUCAUCCUUUCCGUGCCAUUCAUUCUUUCAUUCAUUCACUCACCGUGCAACAAAGAUUGUUGGGCAUUGUAGCAGCAAGUAGGAGCACAGGGUAAUGACAGGCUCACCCCGCUCUCACAGUUUAUAUUCCAGUAGGUAUGACAGAUACAUUACAAGGAAACAAUGAGAUAUUUUCAUAUAGUAGUAAUUGCUAUAAAAGAACAAGGAGAUCUGUAAGACUAGAGAAUGACUAAAGGUGAGAUGGGAAUGAGGAGCAACAGAUAGCCCUCACUUCCUUUUGCUUUCUGCCCACACUACCACAUUUUAGUGUGUUUAGGAAGUAUUCCACCUUACAGUCCAGAUGCAGGAAGGGUUUGAAGGAUUUGGAAUGGUUGGUCUGGAUAAAUCUCUGCCUACAAAACUGGACUUUAUGAAAGCGGCAGGGCAGCUGUUUAUAUAGCUGGCUUAAAAUCAUCACCACUAGCUGAGUGACUCUGAAAGCUAUUUAACCCCUGAGAAAUUCAGUUUUCUUCUCUUCAAGAUAAAAAAUAACAGCAAGUUAUGAGGACUACAUAAGGUAAGGCAUGUAAAUUUCUUAGCCUUUAGGAAGCACUCAAUACAUGUUGGCUAUUAUCUAUAUAGACAUAAAUUCUAUGCUUUGCUUCCAAUUAAUUGAUAAGUUAUAGGCUUAGUAUUGAUAUUGGUGUGAAUUCAGAAAAGGUGGAAGUCUUUGUUCUUGUUGGAUCAGGGUGAAGAGCAGGAAGAGAAACCUUUGCUGAAUCUGACCUUAAACAAGGUUGUUGCCAUCUAGAAGGAAAUUUAAAUGAUUUUGCCCUACACCAGGACCCUAAAACAGGAAAUAUGUGGCUUUUGCCUCAAAAUCAAGCUUAGGUUCCUUCUUUUAGUACAGAAGUCUAUAGGUUAACAACCUGAAAAUCUUAGAAUUGCAUUGAAAAUCUUAGAAUUGCAUUGUUCCUUAGAGCCACAUUUCAGGUUUGCAGCCUUGUCCAGGAUAAAGAAUUCUGGGGUAGGUAUAAAAACACCUGAACUCAAAUCCUAUCUCUAUCAGUUACUGUGAUCUUAGGGAAAUAGCUUCAGCUCUCAGUUUUUCAGUAGCUUUAUGUGUAAAAUGGAGAUUAUAUAAAAUGAAAUAAAGCAUCCAUAGGUGAUUUGAAAACUCUGAAGUGUCAGACAGUGCAGAAGACCAUCAUAACAUUGUUACAUGUGAACAUGUGGAAAGGAAUAUGUCUAUUCAGAACACUGGGGCACAUUGCUUGCUCUCAUGGUUCUUCAUUUUUAAGUGAGUAUAGUACCUUUCAUGCAGGGCUAUUGUGAUAAGUAAGUGAGAUCAUAUAUAUAAACUUUCAAAACAAUGCAUAGCAUAGAAUGUGUGCUAUGUAAGCAUCACUGCUACGGUUAUUGUUACUGUUCUCUGGCCAUCUUGUUGGGCCAAGUGUUGAACCUUAUAAUUUUCACAUAGAGAGCUUCUUACUGUAGAAGUUUAUAAUAGUAUAGAGAGCAAGGCUUUGGGAUCAGAUGACUGGGGUUUAAAGCCUCCUCGCUAGUUAUUUUCUGUAUGGCUUUGGGUGGCUUCCUUAUUUUCUCUGAGCUUUAAUUUUCAUAACCUUAAAACAGGGCUAAUGAUACCAUCACCUCACAGGGUUGUUUUGAGAACAAAUUAAAACACCAUAUGUAAAUUGCUUUCGUGGCACCUGGCAUGUAGUAAGAAAUCAAUAACUGGUAGUUAUUAAACCUACAAUUCUUCUAAUCAGACAAUAUUAGCUAUGACUUAAAACAGGUGAGCCUGCAAGAGCUUGAAUUACAGCAUGAUUCUGAACAAACACAGAAAGUAAUUUCUAUCUUCUUUUAAACUCACCUGUACUACACUGAAAUCUCACUCUUUCACAUAUGAAAGACUUUGCAACCAAGGCACUGACAAGGAUUUCCUUUUUGACUAUGAACGCUUUAGGUUAAAAUUCUGAAUCUCAUUUAUUUUUAAUGGGUUUCUUUGCAAAAUACCCAGCGUAUGUCAAGGACAUUGGUAAUCCCAUGUUCUUCAAAAUAAGCAGGAAAUUGAUUUCAGCCAAUGGGGAGAAAAAGUAGUUUGAUCCUCUUCCUGGAGUUACCACAUAGCAUUUAUUAAUAGCUCUGUAAACGGUCUGGAACACAGUAUCAGCUUGCUGUUCAAAAUAUGACAAAAGUUUAUGCAAAGUUGCUUAGGAAAAACAAGAUCUAGUCAUUAGAAAUCUGACACUGGUCAAUAGUACAUUUAUUCCAAGUCUCCAUAAAUCACAAACAAAUGAAACUUCUAUUGUGAUCACUGUUCCAGAUCUAAAAGACCCUCCCCCUUACUUUGGUAGAAAUUAAAUACAUUUUAGAAAGCCCAAUAUUUUUUCCUCUACAAAUAGAGGCUAAUUACAAAAUUUCCCAAGAAAUAAUAAAUAUUAAACUAUAAUCAACAGAUGUGACACAAGAUGAAUAAGAAGCACAUAACUUAGCUUUCAUUCCUUAUGUAGGGCGCAUGUUUAUCUUUAAUUAUCCCCAACCUGGGAAUGGCAUAAAUGUUAUCUGUUUUAUUUAUUAUUUGUAUCUAGAGUGACAUCACAUUUUGAUUUUGCCCAGGACAGUCUCAGCUUAAGCUGUUGUCCCAGCUUAAUUAUUAAUUACUCUCCUUUUACUCCAAAGUAUUCUACUUUUGAUGGUAAAUAAGGACUUCACUUGCUUAAAAUUUUAUUUUAUUAAAAAAAUGAUAGAUUUAAGAAAGCCAUUGGAACAAGGGUAAAAGAUAGGCUAAAUGGGGCUAAUGAGAAGAAAAAAAUUGAAUUAAUAUUAGAAUCAAAGGAUGCAGAUAGUUACUAUAAUUGAGCAUAAUGCAAUUCUGAACUUCCUGACAGCCAAGUAAGAAAGGGGAAAAUAGCACUAGUUACCUAUCUUUCGUGAUGCAAUAAAGGGAAGAAACCUAGUUUUUCAGAAGAGAUGAAUUUUUUCUAGUACUAAACUCAAAGAGGAACUUACCAUACUAGCCUUUCUAUAAGAGUUAUCAGGUAACGGUUAGCGACUUCAAAAAUAAUGUUUCAAAAGAUGCAACGACAUUUUCUGGUAGUUUAUUUCAACCCAAUGUCCACAGCAUUAAAAUUAUGGUUCUGUAAACUGUAAGAGGAGAGAGGCAAUAAUAUAGUCCCUUUUUGUAGUUUUCUGGAGGAUCUGACCUGAUCAAAUCAACCUGAUUUGUUAAUUUUUAGAAUGUGCCUAAUGGGUUUUUUUUUAUUUUUAUUUUUUAUUUUUUUUGAGGCAGAAUCUUGCUCUGUCACCCAGGUUGGAGUGCAGUGACCCCAUCUCGGCUCACUACAACCUCCGCUACCCGAGUUCAAGCGAUUCUCUUGCCUCAGCCUCCCAAGUAGCGGGGAUUACAGGCACCCACCACCCCGCCUGGCUAGUUUUUGUAUUUUUAAUAGAGACAGGGUUUCACCAUGUUGGUCAGGCUGGUCUUAAACUCCUGACUUCAGGUGAUCCACCCGCCUUGGCCUCCCAAAGUCUGGGAUUACAGCCGUGAGCCACCACGCCCGACCCCGUAAUUUUUUAAAAGCAUCUUUUAUUCGUUAAUCAUCAGUUAACUUGAACCCGAAUCCAAACGCUGCGAAAGACCUGACCAUUGUUCUCCAGAAUCUGCGAACGAUUUGGUGAGAGCUCUAGGGCAGUGGUUGUUCUCAACUGAGAUGAUUUGCAACCCAGCAGACGUCUGGCAAUGUCUAGAGAUAUUUUUUGUCACGACUUACAGUAAGACAGGAUCACUAGAUGCACAGUCCUGGUAUCUAGUGAGUAGAGGCCAGGGAUGCUGUUAAACAUUCUAUAAUGCACAGGACAGACCCCCCAGAACAAAGAAUUAUCCAGCCUAAAAUGUCAAUAGUGCCGAGACUGAGAAACUGUGCCCCAGGGUACUGUUAGAAGAAGGGAUGGAGGGCCAGGCGCGGUGGCUCACGCCUGUAAUCGCAGCACUGUGGGAGGUCAGGCGGGCGGAUCACGAGGUCAGGAGAUCAAGACCAUCCUGAUUAACACGGUGAAACCCCGUCUCUACUAAAAAAUACAAAAAAUUAGCCGGGAGUGGUGGCGGGCGCCUGUAGUCCUAGCUGCUUGGGAGGCUGAGGCAGGAGAAUGGCGUGAACCCAGCAGGCGGAGCUUGCAGUGAGCUGAGAUCGCGCCACUGCACUCCAGCCUGGGCAACAGAGUGAGGAUCUGUCUCUAAAUAAAUAUAUAAAUAAAAGAAGGGAUGGAGACAUAGUUUUUAGCUGGAGUCAAAAGAAAAAAUCCUCAUGGGGAAGGGGAGCUUGGGCUAGAUUCCUUCAUCCCACCCAGUGGAGCUGGAGGAUGUCUCUCCCCAAGCUCAGCAAAUGUCAGGAAAAAAAUACAAGAAGAGGCAAUCAUGUGGAAAUGCAGUCCACAAAGGGAAUUGUGGAUAAACUCAUUUAACCAGAAAGGAGGAAGAAUCCAUGUAGAGCAAUAAGAAAGAAAGCCAGAUAGCACAGCACAUGCAAAUUUAGGGCAAAGAGUUUCUGUUUUGAUGUUAUGCUCCAAUAUCACUAAAUAUUGCUGGUAUUUUUUAAAGCCACACAAAUCAAGGGCAGCAUAAACUUUUAUGUUCCCAGAGUUCAUCUUUGGAAUACUGGCUUAUAGUGUAUAUGUGGAUAUGCACAUAUUUUGCUUCCUCUCCUCCACAUCGUUUUUUACCACUUACAUAAUAGGGAUUCCUUGGAACUCAGUUUUAUAUCACAUUAAAUUUAAAAAUGGGUGCCUACUCAAAAAGACAACCUAUCAAGGCACAGAAAAUUCUGAACCACUGCUGUAAUGAAUACAUCAUUGGAAUCUCCAUUAAGAAAUAUUAUUCUGACCUAGUUCUCUGUGUCAUGCUGCAGAUUGUCCUUCUCUUGACUCAUGGAAUGCUUUGUGAGAAAGAACUACAAAGCCGGGUCCCUCGAUAUUAGCCAUCUCACCCUUCAAAGUUCAGCCAGGAGUGGGACAAAACCCUCGUCACCAUGUUGACAUGUUUACUUCUGGCGCAGGAAAAUACUGCUGUUGCCCAAUUUGGUUUCCCAGUCCAUUCACUUGCCUGGAGACAUAUAUUUUAUGCUUUCCUUUGAUGAUUUACAAAUAAAUUAACGUGAUUCACUAAGGUCUGCCAGCAUAUAUGCGUUACUGGAGAAAUCUGAGAUGUUGAAAAAGUAUUUUAAUUUAUUGUAUCCCAAUACUUUCUUAAGAAAGUUUCUUAAGAACCAAAUAAAUAUCAUCAGCUAGUUUAUAUACCUGACAUAUUUAUUACGGUAUUCCCGCUGAGCACUUCCCAUUGUCAUGUGUUCUCACACAUUGUUUUCACAAAUUGUGUUUUGAAAGAAGUCAAGGGAAAUUCAGGCCAGAGAAGCAAGAUGUUAUCUUUUGGAAAGGAUGAGCCCACUCUAAUGGAAGAGGAUAAUCCAUUCAGAGGUUUGUGAGGCCAAUAUCCCCCAGUGGGUGUGAUAAAUCCACAGCGUCUGAAUCCAGAAUUUUGCACUGGGACCUUGAAGUUGCAUGAACAAUUUAGUCAUGUUCCAAAUAAACACAGUGUAUCAUUAUUAUUAUUGGAUAAACAUGAACAUCUGUUAGGUCAAGUUUGCCCUAUUUCCUUAAAGGCAACUGGAGUCCCUGAACACAGUUCUCAUAUGUCUAUCACAAAUGGAUCUGAGAUGGGUGUAUAAUGCCAAAGCGGCUCCUUGACCAUCUCUGUGUUUGGAAACCAGAUUUUAAAAAGAAAAAAAAAAGUCACCUGCUCAUCUGAGGUGGGUCACAUGCCUAGAGAGCACCAUAGAGACUGCAGUUCCCUUCUGAAUCCCAUCAACAGAGCUACUGUCAAAAGAUGAAAAUAUUUGAAUCAGCUGGCCUUCUUCAUUUUUAAAGCAAUGUUGUACAUAUUUUAAGCAAUUAUUUGGGGCGAGAGGACUCUAAUUGACACCAUUCUCUUGUCCUAACUCAGCCUGGCACCUUUCCAGCUGUCACUCAGUGGGCACAGGAUAUGGAGGAUGAUUUCUCACCAGGCUGAAUCAGCAGGUUGCAGCAGGUUACAACUGCAAGGGACUUUACAAAGCUUCUAAUCCUACCCCUCAUUUUUCAGAUAAGACAUUAUUGAUACGAUCUGCCCAAGAUCAUGCACUUAGUUAGUGGCAGAGCUUUACCCAAGGCCAGGAAAUAAAAUCUGUCUUUCUGGAACAGCAUUCAUUGGUUUGCACUUACCGAGUACCUUUUACAG